UGGGGUGACGUGUUUUGGUGCACCUUUCUCAUACAGGGCUUCUCGAGCGCGGAAUUUACAUAUUUUUAAGAUGUAAACGCGAUCUUCUUACACGAAACGAGGAAGGUGCUACGUAAUAAUGUACUCAAAGGCUGUGACGUCCCCGGGCUAAGCCUCACAGCCCCGUUCCCUCGUACGGCCAGCAGACCCCUCUCAGCCGUGAGAUUGUCGUUCUUGCAGCCGUGUAAUCGUUCUUGUUCGGAUUGCAGUCAGAACCAGAGUAACAGAACAGUCCACGUGACCCAGGAGUUGCUGGACUGCCAUGUCAACGGUGGUUUGAGUUAUGGCCGCAUUUCUGAUAACCACGUGUUUCUGCCUGAACAUAUGCAAAGCCAGCGUGGGAAGCUGUGGAUGUGGAGACCACAGAGGGCAAGCUCAUGACCGAGGUCCGGCAGUGCUUCUACAGAAGAACGAACUCUGCUUCUAUCAGAGUUGGGAUCACGGAACGAACAAGCCAUGGGCAAGCCUGAACCCAAACCUUGAAGUCCAUGUACUUCUGUAUGCCAAGGCGAAAGCCUGAGGGGACAUCUCUUAAAAGAAGCAGCAAGUCUACCCUUGGGUGUGGGACGCGUUGUGGGGCCACGCGCAGGAGCUCCCAGGCUGAGGGUCUGAAGGAGGGUGAUCGUGUGCCCUUGGCCUUGGGCAAGUCCAGCUCCUGGCUCCCUCCUUCCCUCCCUCUGCCCCCUGCCUUCUUUUUCCUUUUGUUCCAUAAUACUUACUGAGUUCCUAUGUCUGCCAGACCUGCGCUGGGCCCUGGAGUUUAUACUAUAGGACACGAAGACAACACGCAAGCAAAUAAGAAAUGAGAUGAUUUCAAGAUCUCCUGGAGAAACCCAGGCAGGGUGAGAAGGUCGAGUGAUGCAGGACACUUCUCGUCCCAUCUUUCCAACUAGGGUCUCUUAUCACCCUGCUAGAUCGAUAGUCAGCGUUUACAUGACUGUAUCACUCAGUGCUUCCAGUCAUGUGGCCCUAAAAACGGUGGGUCGUCCCUCAUGCUUCUCUUUCUCUCACACCACAUCUAGUCUGUGGGCCAAUCCUGCUGCCUCUGCCUUCGGAACGUAUCCCGGUCUGGCCGUGCUGGGUACCUCUGCUGUCAACACUGAGCCUCCGUUGCCCUUCCUGGAUGUCCCAGGAGCACCCUCGCUGGCAUCCACUUCUCCAUCCUUCCUUCGACUGUCUCUUCUCAACAGAAGGCCAGAGCGUCUCCUCUCCAGAUCGUCACAGCUUCCUGUCUUGCCUGGAGUGAACCCAAGGUCCUUACAAUGUCCCAUGAGCCCUCUCCCACCUCCCUGUGAUCUGCCCCCACACUUCUCGGACCUCGGCACCGCCUACCUGCCUCUGCCAGUUUCCCCCAAGCCAACACCUCAGCGCCUUCGCAGCAGCUGUUCCCUCUCCUAGAAUGCCCUUCCUCUAGAUAGCCACGUGGCCCUCUCAGUCACCACCAGGGAGUCUCGCCCAGGUAUUUACUUCAGCGAAGCCUUCCCUCAGCUCCCUCCACUCCCAUCAGCUCUCUGUGCUUUAUUGUUUUGCAUAGCACUUGUCACCUUCUAACAUACCAAGUGAUAUGCUUAUGAGGUCUGUUUUUAUUUUUGUGUAUGUUUUGUUCAUUCCUACCCCUCCCCCGCCAUGCCUAGAAGAGUCCCAAGCACAUAGGAGACCCUAUGGAUAAGUGAUUAGGCCGUUUCUUAUAAAGUUAAACGUGCACCCACCCCAUGAGCCAGCCCUUGAAUUCCUAGGCAUUUACCCAAGAACAGAGAACACUGGUGUCCACACAGCUUGAUUCAAAAUAGCAGAACCUGCAAGCAGCCCAAUGUCCACCACAGAAGAAUGUAUCAGCGCACUGAGGUGUGUGACUUGAUGGGCUACACAGCAAUGGAAAAGAACCCAGUACUGAGAAUUCUGUUUUCCGUAGUGUAAAGUAUCUCCUCUCAGACCAACCCUCUCACAAAGAACAGCCACUGACUCCGGACAAAAAUGUAAGGCGCCAGAAGACAAUCAAAGCAGACAGAUACUCGAGGGGAUGGACGCUUGUAAGAGGGGAGAGGCCCGGGAGGGAUUUUCGCAUUUUGUAGCAUUCAGCCUGAGGGCAGGCCUCACUCUGAACCCUGUAGGACAACCAAAGCAGCGAAGGAAACCUGCAGUCUUCAUGGCUUUAGGAAGUAGUUGACAGAGUCUGGAGAAAUCUCAGCUGCUGGAAACUGGCAGGAGAAUGAGGAGAAAAACAGACAUGGGGGCACCAAAUCCUGGCUGUGAUCUUUACCCAGAACGCUAGCUUCACCGAGCAGACACCAAACAGCCUGCUCAGACGGUAUUCUAGAACAGGCUGACAAAUGUACUGGCUCUUCAGAAAUCAAAUAGCUGGCUGUUCGAGGCAGGGGUGGACAACUGACUGGAAAGGGAAGUGAGAGAUCUUUCUGAGGGGACGAAAUGUCCAAUAUCUGAUUUGCAUAAUGGUUCCACAUUUGUCAAAAUUCGUCACAUUGAACACUCAAGGUCUGUACACUUCACUGUAAGAAAUGAUAACUCAACAAAAAUGUUUUAAAUUGCAACGGUUUAUGUGGUUCUCUGCAUUAGGAUUCUGGCAUUUAGAUAGAAAACAAACUGCUGACACAAACACCCCCUGGAAUACAGCUCUGCCAAUAUCCACACAGAUCUUAUUCCCAUGGACACAGGACACACAGCAGCAGCCGAGACCAGAUGAGGCCACUCCGAGAAGUGACGUU